AUAUACGGCCAUAUCACUUUGAAAACACCGGUUCUCGUCCGAUCACCGAAGUUAAGCAACGUCGAGCCUAGUGAGUACUUAGAUGGGUGACCGCUUGGGAAACCUAGGUGCUGUAAGAG
rnacentral:rRNA from 1 species